UACGCAGGGGGCAAGCGUUGUCCGGAUUUAUUGGGCGUAAAGAGCGUGUAGGCGGUUUGGUAGGUCCGUUGUGAAAACUCGAGGCUCAACCUCGAGACGCCGAUGGAAACCAUCAGACUAGAGUCCGGAAGAGGAGAGUGGAAUUCCUGGUGUAGCGGUGAAAUGCGCAGAUAUCAGGAGGAACACCGGUGGCGAAGGCGGGUCUCUGGGCCGAUAUUGACGCUGAGGAGCGAAAGCGUGGGGAGCGAACAGG
rnacentral:rRNA from 1 species